AUUCCAUGAUGGGGACAUUCUAGGAUGUAGUCUUGAAAGCGCUCCCAUGCUUCUGGAACAGAUUCAUCAUUUUGUUGCUGAAAACUUGUAAUCUUUCCACGGAGAGC
rfam:Sorghum bicolor cultivar BTx623 chromosome 9, whole genome shotgun sequence.